rnacentral:rRNA from 1 species
UACGAAGGGGGCGAGCGUUGUUCGGAUUUACUGGGCGUAAAGGGCGCGCAGGCGGCAGAUCAAGUCAGACGUGAAAGCCCCGGGCUUAACCUGGGAACUGCGUUUGGGACUGGUUUGCUAGAGAUCGGGAGAGGAGAGUGGAAUUCCCAGUGUAGAGGUGAAAUUCGUAGAUAUUGGGAAGAACACCGGUGGCGAAGGCGGCUCUCUGGACCGAUACUGACGCUGAGGAGCGAAAGCGUGGGGAGCAAACAGG